rnacentral:rRNA from 1 species
AUUGAACGCUGGCGGCAGGCCUAACACAUGCAAGUCGAACGGUAACAGGAAGCAGCUUGCUGCUUCGCUGACGAGUGGCGGACGGGUGAGUAAUGUCUGGGAAACUGCCUGAUGGAGGGGGAUAACUACUGGAAACGGUAGCUAAAACCGCAUAACGUCGCAAGACCAAAGAGGGGGACCUUAGGGCCCCUUGCCAUCGGAUGUGCCCAGAUGGGAUUAGCUAGUAGGUGGGGUAACGGCUCACCUAGGCGACGAUCCCUAGCUGGUCUGAGAGGAUGACCAGCCACACUGGAACUGAGACACGGUCCAGACUCCUACGGGAGGCAGCAGUGGGGAAUAUUGCACAAUGGGCGCAAGCCUGAUGCAGCCAUGCCGCGUGUAUGAAGAAGGCCUUCGGGUUGUAAAGUACUUUCAGCGGGGAGGAAGGGAGUAAAGUUAAUACCUUUGCUCAUUGACGUUACCCGCAGAAGAAGCACCGGCUAACUCCGUG